UGUUGAUUUCCAAGUUUGCCAAAAAACUGAUGUCUUUGAGACAGUGCCUUCUGAGUGUAUGCAUCAAUGGGUAUUGCCCUUCGGAGUAGCCACUAUGAAAGACUGUAUAUUUAUAUAAAUAUUGUUGCUAAAAUAUAUUUUCCAUUUCUCUUUCAGAAAGGUCUUCAGAAUUCAUUUCCUCUCCCAUCCGUGUAACAUGCAGAAUCAUAUUAUAAUUGCUCCUUAGUAGUUUGACAAAAAUUCUUAUGAGGUAUUUUUUGUUGUUUGCUUUAUCUGCCUUUUAUUAUCAGAGUUAGCUCUCAGCUAUGUUUGGCAAUUUCUAGAAUUCAAAUCUGCCCUCAGAGCUGAAGUUUUACUAUGACCGAGUUUUUUUUUUAAAAUCAUGCAUGGACUCUGAAGAUAAUUUCCAAAUGUAUAUUUCCCCAAAAAAGUGUGCAUUUGUUUUUAAGUAAUUUCAACCUUCUUGGAAUAAGUGUAGAGUCUUCCAGAUAGAGGACUUUGAAGGAGAAAGAAAUCACCCAAUGCAUAUGUUUGAUGAUAAAGUAUCAGUUGGAUUGUCUCUGAUUUCAGACAUGGCCUUCAUCUCUUGGCCAUGAUUGACAGCCCUGAUAUGGAGGAACAGUCCAUUGUUCUAAAGACUGUUGUGUCCCACUGAUAGAGUCAGAAAGAGUUGAUUAAAUAGCAGCUUCUAUCUUCCUGAAAUGGAAAAUGGGCAUAUGGCUGUCACUCACAAUUGUGCGUAUUUGACUGUUCUUGUAACAUCCAAGCCGCACACACAUACACAAAAAGCGUAUGCCAGGGAUUCCCAAACUUUCUCUUCAUGGUGCCAUUGGUUGUCUCAAUACAUUUUUUUAUGGUGCCCUAGGCCCAAAUAAAUACUUAAUAAUUCCACUUAUUAGAUAACUAGGUCCAAACAAUGUAAUAGUGGUGGUUUGUGCCACGUCCUGCAGAUGUUGCUGUGUUUCUUUCACACAUUUAUACUAUCUGGUGAGUUCGCUGCCCUGCCUCAGUAUGUCUCAGCACACAGUUUGGGGAUCAUCAAUGUACGUUAUUCUGAUGUUUGCACUAUCCAAGGUGGUGGACCUCAAAAUGGAAUUCUUGGCCACUUGAUCUUCUGCAUCACUUCACUCUGUGUUUCGCCAUCACUCUGAUUGUUUUUGCUUGCAUCUGGUUGACUAGCUUUUUAAUAGAAGUUCUCCCCUCCUUUGCUGCCACACCAUAGGUCAUAGUAAAGAAAAUGCAAUAGUGAUUGCCCAGCAUUGGGGGGGGGGGGCUGGCUUCUCCAAAUGCAGUGGACUUUGUAUCUUUGGAGUAUAAUCACAAAGGGGCAGGGAGGGGAUGACCUUUUCAUAGCUGAACACCAAAAAUCUUUUUGGUGACCAAGGGGCCUCUUUAGCUCUGCUCAGAAAUGACUCUGCUUCUUCCAGACGUGUCUAACAAAACACAGUCUCUCUUGCAUGACAGUGCAGUGGAUGCCUGCUUCUCUUUCCUACCCAAGUGCUUUGCAGGUGAUAUAGUUUCCUCUGACCUCAAAGGUUGAGUUCCUAUAUUCAUAAAAUUCAUUGGAGCUGGUUGUCAGAUCUAGUAACAUGAAUUAAACCUCUGUUGUGCUGGGGAUUUUGCCCUCUUAGUGUCUAGCUAUGUAAUUAGAGGGAGCUUUGCUGGCUUCAAGGAGUCUUCCAUUUUUAUUGAAUUAUCAAGUAGAAUGCAGUUUUCAUUUGGACCCCUGAACAUAUACAAACUCAGAUGGAAAAAUGUCCAAAUUGAUCUAGAAAGAGGAAACCUGAUAGAAAAAAAAAGAUACUUUAUUCUGGAAGAUCCGCAUUCCUCUCAUCUAGGAGUGUUUGUGUGUGUGUGUGUGUGUGUGUGUGUGUGUGUGUGUGUGUAUUAGAACUGUUAGAACUGUUAAAUGUGCUGGUAGCUAGAGGCACUUUUAAAUUGGGGUACUCUGGAUUUUUCUGGGAAUCUGUUAAUUGCUAGUACCUUAUACCCAGGAAAAUGCAUAUUGUACAUGGAACACAUAGUUUCGUGAACAUUUUUUUUUGAGGGGAUGGAAAGGAGUACAGUGUAAAGACCCCAUGAGGUCAAUAACCUCUGCUCUGCAGAACAUGAACUUGAUAUUCUAGACCAGGAAUUAGCAAACGUUUUCUGAAAGGGGCAGACAGUAAAUAUCUUCAGCUUUGUAUUUCAUACAGUCUCUGUUGCAACUGGUGGGUGUGAGAGCAUCCACAAUAAUAUGUCUGUGAAUGAUCUCAGGGCUGUGUUCCAAUAAAAUUUUGUUUAGUGAAUCAGAUGAUGGGCUAUGUUUGGCCCCUAGGUCAUGGUGUGCUAAUGCCUGGGCUACCAAAUGCAAAACUAAUUGAUGAACUCUGUGUAUAGAGUUCUUCCAUUGAGUGAGGCUUUAGCUCAGUUGCUGUUGAGGCAGAUUAGGAAGACAGAUGUAGAUGUAGGGAGAUGGAUUCAGAAAGAUGGACUGUUCAGUCCCAUGAAAAUUGCCUCUUGAUUUUCUCAGGUAAGUAUUCCUUUCUGUGGAAGCCAAGGGAACAAUUUUCUUCAGACUGAAUCGAGUCCUACUGGCCUUUUUUUUCUUCUUUUUCUUUUUUUCUUUUUUGCAGUAACUAACAUAACCUACUUCAACUUGGAAAUAAAAGGCACGCUUCUCGUAGACAUUAACUGCACUCUCAUCUCAGCUUUGCUUUUUGCUUUGGGUAUGAUUUAUGUGCAAGGGGAAUCAUGAAGCUGGAUGCUAAUCCUUUGGCUUUCCUUUUUCCUGAGAGGCAUUAGGAUUUGAGACUUUGAGAGGCCAUACUUACAUCAGAAGCAGAAGGCAGAUAAAAUUCUUUCAAUCUGCCAAGUCAUCCACCUCAUCUAUUUGGGCCUCUUUUAAGGAAAUAAGAAAGAAUGGUUUGCGGUCAAAAUACUUGUCAGUGGACUUGGAGCUCCAAGCUCGCUCAGUGACAGGGGACCUCAGCCUAUCCCUCGAGCACCAUCACUGGACUUGACAUAAUGGGGCUGCUUUGCCUCGAUCCUCUUUUAAAUAAUCAGUAACUUUCUAUUUUAAGGGGUCUAAGCAAAAUGGUCUUUCCCCCAUGUGAUUAUGCUGGGUUGCCAGGCCUGGCUGAAUCUCUGAGCCCUACAGCCUCCAGUGAAAGCUCUGUCUUCCCUAUGGGACAGCUGACUAAUUGGCUCCACCUUCUGUAUGUACAAUUUUUGGGGGGCACCUUCCUGUCUGUACAGAAUGCCGUAUAGAUAACUUCAUCUGCCAGUCACCCACGCUGUCUCUGUCUUCUUCCAGACCAAUACAACACUUCUUACCUAGAGCUUCCAGCUCUUUAUUCUUCAGAAACAUUUGUUUUCCCUGCCGCAUCGUCAGGCAAACAUACAUCACACUUAGGAUGACACUUGGGAACUCCUUCAGAAGGCAGAUAUACCUACACCCAGCAGUUUACCUAAAAGAAUGUUCUCUCUUUACCUGGGGAAACAAACUGAAAUUCCAGAACCUUCAAAAUGAAAUUCUUCUCUGGGGAAGCACCUGCCACCAGGUACAUCACUUGCCUCCUGCUCCUGGUGUCUACAGAGAGGAUGGGUCAGUUUUCUGGGGUUUAGAGAGUCACAGUGUACAGUUCUGCAAAUAUCAUUGACCUUAGCAGGUUUUUGGAUGGAGUCAUUUGGAAUCAAGAUUUAAAUUGGGGUUUUGUUUUUGCAGUUCCCAACCCAAACUCCUUUUACAAGCAAAAUUUCUCUAAAAGCCUCUUUUCUAUCUGCAGUGAACAAGGGCCUACUUAGAGACACAAAGCAAGGUUGGGGACUUUGAGGUAGGGAUGUGUUUUUGAAAAGAAACCAAUAUCUCCUUGUAACAUAGCAUAUGUUAAUGUAUUUCAAAGACAUCCAGGCUACUUCCUUGGGGCUGUCAGAUUAUGUUAUUUGCCUUAUCACUUGAACUAGGACCAAAAAUCUUUACUCUUGGGCAGUGGCAGUUAGAUCUUGGGAGAUUUGUCUUGUAUUUCUUUAUUAUAGUUGUCCGUGUGGACAGAUACGGACACUAGGCAGUUAAUCCUGGCAUGCCUGGGUCUUCCCCAGGUUAUACUUUUGCAUUUCUGGGAUUCAGGGCUUUUUUUCAGGGAAUGGAAGCUGAUGCUCUUACAACUUAGAGACUGAGUUCAGGGAAAGCAGGGAAAAGUUCAGGCACUUCCUUGUGUCCUGCUGUAAGAAACAGAACUUCCUGAGGAGCCCCUCAUGUGUGUGGCUUCUGCCAGGCCAUCAUCGUCUCCUCUGUUUUCCUGGAUUGCAUGUACUUGUUAU